ACACUCCUGCGGGAGGCAGCAGUGGGGAAUUUUGGACAAUGGGCGAAAGCCUGAUCCAGCAAUGCCGCGUGCAGGAUGAAGGCCUUCGGGUUGUAAACUGCUUUUGUACGGAACGAAAAAGCUCCUUCUAAUACAGGGGGCCCAUGACGGUACCGUAAGAAUAAGCACCGGCUAACUACGUGCCAGCAGCCGCGGUAAUACGUAGGGUGCGAGCGUUAAUCGGAAUUACUGGGCGUAAAGCGUGCGCAGGCGGUUAUGUAAGACAGAUGUGAAAUCCCCGGGCUCAACCUGGGAACUGCAUUUGUGACUGCAUGGCUAGAGUACGGUAGAGGGGGAUGGAAUUCCGCGUGUAGCAGUGAAAUGCGUAGAUAUGCGGAGGAACACCGAUGGCGAAGGCAAUCCCCUGGACCUGUACUGACGCUCAUGCACGAAAGCGUGGGGAGCAAACAGGAUUAGAUACCCGGGUAGUCCCA
rnacentral:rRNA from 1 species